rnacentral:tRNA from 2 species
GGCGCUGUGGCGGAGUGGUAACGCAAAGGUCUGCAAAACCUUUUUUCGCCGGUUCAAAUCCGGUCGGCGCCUCCA